rnacentral:rRNA from 1 species
GAUGAACGCUGGCGGCGUGCCUAAUACAUGCAAGUCGAGCGAACAGACGAGGAGCUUGCUCCUCUGACGUUAGCGGCGGACGGGUGAGUAACACGUGGAUAACCUACCUAUAAGACUGGGAUAACUUCGGGAAACCGGAGCUAAUACCGGAUAAUAUAUUGAACCGCUUGGUUCAAUAGUGAAAGACGGUUUUGCUGUCACUUAUAGAUGGAUCCGCGCCGCAUUAGCUAGUUGGUAAGGUAACGGCUUACCAAGGCGACGAUGCGUAGCCGACCUGAGAGGGUGAUCGGCCACACUGGAACUGAGACACGGUCCAGACUCCUACGGGAGGCAGCAGUAGGGAAUCUUCGGCAAUGGGCGAAAGCCUGACGGAGCAAUGCCGCGUGAGUGAUGAAGGUCUUCGGAUCGUAAAACUCUGUUAUUAGGGAAGAACAAAUGUGUAAGUAACUAUGCACGUCUUGACGGUACCUAAUGAGAAAGCCACGGCUAACUACGUG